rnacentral:rRNA from 1 species
UACGAAGGGGGCUAGCGUUGUUCGGAAUCACUGGGCGUAAAGGGCGCGUAGGCGGCUUUAUAAGUCGGGGGUGAAAGCCUGUGGCUCAACCACAGAAUUGCCUUCGAUACUGUAGAGCUUGAGACCGGAAGAGGUAAGUGGAACUGCGAGUGUAGAGGUGAAAUUCGUAGAUAUUCGCAAGAACACCGGUGGCGAAGGCGGCCAACUGGUCCGGAUCUGACGCUGAGGCGCGAAAGCGUGGGGAGCAAACAGG